rnacentral:rRNA from 1 species
UACGGGGGGGGCAAGCGUUGUUCGGAAUUACUGGGCGGAAAGGGCUCGUAGGCGGCCAACUAAGUCGGAUGUGAAAUCUCCGAGCUUAACUCGGAAAGGUCAACUGAUACUGUGCGGCUAGAGUGCAGAAGGGGCAACUGGAAUUCUUGGUGUAGCGGUGAAAUGCGUAGAUAUCAAGAGGAACACCUGCGGCGAAGGCGGGUUGCUGGGCUGACACUGACGCUGAGGCGCGAAAGCUAGGGGAGCGAACAGG